rnacentral:rRNA from 1 species
GAUGAACGCUAGCGGCAGGCCUAAUACAUGCAAGUCGAGGGGUAUGGGUUGCUUGCAACCCAGAGACCGGCGCACGGGUGCGUAACGCGUAUGCAAUCUACCUUAAUCAGGGGGAUAGCCCGGAGAAAUCCGGAUUAACACCGCAUAACAUUGAGUUGUGGCAUCACAGUUCAAUCAAAUAUUUAUAGGAUUAAGAUGAGCAUGCGUGACAUUAGUUAGUUGGUGAGGUAACGGCUCACCAAGACCACGAUGUCUAGGGGAUCUGAGAGGAUGACCCCCCACACUGGUACUGAGACACGGACCAGACUCCUACGGGAGGCAGCAGUAAGGAAUAUUGAUCAAUGGGCGCAAGCCUGAACCAGCCAUGCCGCGUGCAGGAAGACGGCCCUAUGGGUUGUAAACUGCUUUUGUACCGGAAUAAACCUUCUCUUGCGAGAGAAGCUGAACGUACGGUAAGAAUAAGGAUCGGCUAACUCCGUG